rnacentral:rRNA from 1 species
AUGUAGGUAUCUGCCCUUUGGCCUGGAAUAACACGAGGAAACUUGUGCUAAUACCGGAUAAGUCUUUACGGAGAAAGCUUUAUGCACCAUUGGAUGAGCCUGCACUUGAUUAGUUUGUUGGUGGGGUAAUGGCCUACCAAGACUGUGAUCAAUAGCUGAUUUGAGAGGAUGAUCAGCCACAUUGGGACUGAGACACGGCCCAAACUCCUACGGGAGGCAGCAGUGGGGAAUCUUGCACAAUGGAGGAAACUCUGAUGCAGCGAUGCCGCGUGAGUGAAGAAGGCCCUUGGGUUGUAAAGCUCUUUCGUCGGGGAAGAAAAUGACUGUAC